ACAUUGAAUCUUGACCAAGUUACCUUUGCUGCUGAGGAAGCUAAACUUGCUCAACAAACUCGCUGUAAGGGGCAUGGUUCAAGGCGGAGCUUUAUCUCUGCACUGUUUGGAAUCGGCUGCCUACCUCAUGAGUCAUGAGAGAUGUCAGCUUUGAAAUCUGCCAACUAGGAAUUGAAGGGAGUGAUGAAAACUGUGAAGAUACAAGGCUUUAUGGAACUUACGAGAUGAGAUGAUGAUCUGAUGAUUUAAGCAAUAAAAUCCAAGAAUCAUUCAUUAGAGUCUAUAAUGUACCCAGUGAUGUUGGUGAGGAGAAUCUCAUGGGAGCAGCAGUAGCAGCAGUAGCAACAAGCUUUGUCCCACUAGGUGGGGUUGGCUAUAUAGAUUGAAUGACAUUAUUGUGCUCUUUUAUAUCCAAGCUUUUAACCUUGUAAAUAUCUCCUAGUUGUUUAUCCCACAUCGUGCACCUUUGCUAGAAGGGCUUUUGCAGCCUUGGCAUGUAGCAUUGCUCACAUAAACAAUGAAGUGCAGGCUGUUAAAUCUAACUUGCAAGGCCUAAAGGAAAAUCUGGAUUCCAUAUUUCUUAUUGCAUUUCGAGCUUGAUUCGAUAGAAGAGGACGUGGGAAAUGAAGCUGAAGUUGAUUGAGUUCCCUCCUGCCUCCAAUUUGAUAAAGAACCUGAUUUAGAGGCAGAGCUUAACCUGCCCCUGGCUCCCAGGGGAACUCAGCAGUGCAGUGCCAUUAAUCAGACCCAUUAAUGCCCAGGUAUCGUGGCAUGUAGAUUAUUGUGGAGGCAGUGUGAAUAAUUUUGACCAGAAGUUCUUGCAGAAGGUUGAGGCUUUGUCUUCUAAAGCAGUUCAGAGACGGUGUUGCCCAUUACAGCUGCUUAAUUGCUGACUAGUAUUUUUAUAGAUAGAUGAUGGGAAUGGUGGAAAUGAGUUCAACUAUUGUUCUAUAUUACACUAACAUUCAAGGACUUCUUUUCCAGAAACAGUCAAAUGUCAUAUUCUGGGUGUUCAUCUGCAGGAAAAAAAAAAAAUUCCAGUGAAGAUUUUUUUUUUUUUGGACAAAAUGUCUAGUGAAGGUUUAAUUAUUCUUGAAUGGAGGUAAAUGCUAUAAAAGUAUUACAAGGAUCAGUGGCCUAUGUGCCUAACAACAAUGUGCUUAAAUUUGUUACAAAACACUUUGACUUGCAAAAGUUUGAACUAGACUAACAGAAUAAUGCUAUGAAUGCUAUUUUAUCAUAAACUCAUUUCAAAGGUC